UGGGCUCAGGUUGAACACACUUGGUCAAAAUGAACCCUCUUUCUAAAUGCCAAUUCACAGGAUUGUUCCAUAUCCAGAGAUGUGUGGAUGGAAAGGUUCCUUAUUCAAAUCUUAUUAAUGAAUUCCAGACACCCAGGACACCCCCAGCAACAAGGAAUCUUUCGCUGAGUUGGUUCAUGCCAUUUUUGGACAGCAUGAAUUAUCACAGAUGUCUCCAGCAGAGAAUGCAUGAAACUCAGUUGAUAAUUCUUACAAAUGGUACCAAACAAAGGAAGAAAAUACCAGAACCAAUGGGCUAAUGCAACACAAUACAAAGAACAGAGGAGAAUGGGAAUUUCCAUGAAGUGGGUAACCUAUUUUUGGCAAGGUUGAAGAGAGACCCUGCAAACAAGCCCAAGGCAUGUUAAGAGUGAUAAUAGCUAAGAUCUACUGACCACUUAAUAUUGUGCCGAGUACUCUGUAAGUACUUUAUAUGUAUUAUCUCAUUUAAUCCUCAAUCAUCUUAUGUGAUAAAAACAUCUGGGCCUGGUGUUUUCUCUAUGAAAAGAUUUUAAUUUUUAACUAUUUAUUACAGAGAUUUUUCAAACAUACACGAAAGUAAAGAGAAUGUUAUAAUGAAUCUUCAUGACCCAUCACCCAACUUAAGAGAUUUUUUACUCCUAUUUUUAAUGGUUAUAAGCUACUUAGGUCUUUGUAGCUUUUGAGUCAGUUUUAAUAAGUUAGGAAUUUUCCCAUUGUGUCUAAGAUUUAAAAUGUAUUGGCCCCAAAUUUUGUUCAAAAUAUUCUUUUAUUAGAUUUAAAUCUCUGCCCUAACUGCAGUUACUAACAUCAUUUGUUUAUGGCUUUUCUCUUUUUGUUUUCCUUGAUCAAUCUUGGCAGAGGUUUGUCAACUCUAUUCAUCUUUUCAAAGAACAAACUUUUGGCUUUCUUGAUCCUGUCUAAUGUAAAAAAGUUUUUUCCACUUAAUUCCAGUUCUUGUUUCAUUAUAUCCUUCCAUUUUCUGAG
rnacentral:lncRNA from 1 species